rnacentral:misc_RNA from 1 species
AAGUCGUAACAAGGUUUCCGUGAGGUAGCAACCUGGCAGGAAGGAUUCAUUACAGUGUGAGCUGCCCUCACGGGGUAGCAAACCUCACCCUUGUGUAUUAUAUCUUUGUUGCUUUGGCACGCCGCCUUCGGGUACCGGCUUUGGCUGGCUCGCGCGUGUCAGAGAACCUAAAACUCUGAAUGCUAGUGUCGUCUGAGUACUAUCUAAUAGUUAAAA